rnacentral:snRNA from 1 species
GCGCUUUGGCAGCACAUAUAUUAAAAUUGGAACAAUACGGAAAAGAUUAGCAUGGCCCCUGUGCAAGGAUGACACACAAAUUCGUGAAGUGUUCCAUAUUUAA